UGCCUCACCUCGCCCACCCCACCCAGCCCACCCGGAACAGUGUGAGGAAUGGCACCCAGCAGCGGGCGGGAGGAGCCAGGACGCGUGUGAGACAGAACCACCCAGCCCAGGCCACUUACUGGGGCACCAGAAACCAGCCUUGUCUAAGGGGGAGUCCUGAACACACACCACUUUGGACGAAAAACUGCUUUUCUGUAUUUGUGAUGCGGACAAUAUCAGACAUCAGAACCAACGUCCGGACCACCCCGGUCCGGCCAACUUGGAGCACGAGGGACAUCACAGGACGAACCAGACCUUCACUCGGGGCAGAGCAAGGAGGGGGUAGUGUGGGAUCAGCCGGCAAAAGAGAGUCAGGUGACCUCCCAGGAGAUCAAAUGAGAUUUGCUUUUGGAGAAGUACAGGCUCAGCGGACACAGAGGCAUCACUCAUCUGUGAAAGAACUCCACGCAGCAUUUUGCCAAACAGCUCAGAGUUUCAGGAUAAAGCGAAACCCCGGGGACGGAGCCUUUCCAGCCAAAAUCAGCUCUGGCACAAAAGCAGGAAGUGAGAGGUCCACGUGCUCGGGCACAAACACCUGCUACCCGGCCACCACUUCCACAGCAAGUCCAGGCUCUGUGAGCAGCGCUGCGGCCCCCGGGCCUCGGGGAGGACGAGCAAACCCUUGCCGGGGGACCACUGCAGAGAGAGUCUGACAGGCUUUGAAAGACGUGACGAGGAAGAACCACUCCCCGUGGAUGUUACACACGUGGAAAAAGGCCAGGACCAGAAACUCCGUUAGGAAGAAGGGUUAUCCAAGGUAAGCAGCGCCCUCCAUAAGGGGGAACCCUUGAUGGCAACCUUCCCGCCUUCAGAGUAAGGUUGCGAGCUUGAACACUGGGGAGGUGGAUGGGACGGGGGGGAGCCACAGCUAUGGGAUCUAUCUGAAAGCAGCUUUCAGCUUCCUUGCAAAAGUUUCCCCAGCCAGGGGAAGGAUCCACGCCUACCAAACAAAGCAAGUGCUUCGGAGUCCCAGGCAAGAAAAAUUCUCCCGAUGAAAGAAACUUCGGUGCAUCUCAGGCCCAGACCCUGGGAGGGCGGGACGUCAGCAGCUUAUUUGAGAACGUGCCGCCUCCAAGCACAGCAGUGAGGAAGCAGGGAGAGGUGGCAGAUGGGAAGGGGUGAGGGCGGGGGACAGAAGCGCCACCCAGGCAGCUGUGGUGUCAUAAACACGUAGCAGCCGAUGGUGUAGACACGGGAGUCUCGAGCAUCUGAUUAACUGAGAAGCAGCUGUGGUAAUUUGUGAACUAACUUUAAAAAAAGAUCCAUCGCUUCUCGGCCUUUUGGCUGAGAGUGAGUGUAAAAAAAGAUCCCAAUACAGCAUUAUAUUCAACUGUUGGGUAGGCUGCGACAAUAGUCAAUGGGCUAGGGAGGCCACCAGAGUGGAGACGCUCAGCCUUGGCCUGCUGGCGUGGGAGCACAGGGCCACGCUAGAGGCAGAACCAGAUUAUAAUGAGGCCCUACCUGAGACUUCCAAGAAACAUCCCCUACAACCGGGUCCAAGACAGAUCCACCCAAUAUUUAAGUCCGGCCUUAACGAAGGCCUGUAUAGACCCAGACUUAGUAAUUUGAGUCUAAGAAGAGACUCCUAAAACUUCCAAUGAACUUGUUUGCUUGAACUCUCCCAUUACAGCCCAAAUAGAAAGGAGACACCGUCUAAUCACGUGGGCUUUUCAACUCAGCCCAAAUAUGUGGCAGAUAAGGACCAGACGAAAUUUCCCUUGUUAGCAUCACAUAAAGGAAUCCCUCCGACCAGAAUCACUUCAUUAUAAUUCCUUCCUGUCAACCGAUAAUUGUACCAUCCUACACAACAUAUAUCAUUCUGUGUCUGGUGUCCUGUAAGAUUCUCAAGAAGUCAUGGCUGCUUUGUCUCCCUAAAUUGAGGGCCCACCUUUGGUCUCAUUUGAGAACAUCGAUCUGUAUGCAGCUGGUGCUUAUGAGGAGGUGUUGGAUGUCUGUUCAAUGAGUGCUAAGUGUAAUGUAACCCAAACGGCUUUGGAAUUCUGUCUCAGCCUCUUCUCUGCCGCCGCCUACUUUUUCUAGGGCAGGGUAAUGGAAAUUAGUUCAAGAAACGGAAAAAGUGUGAUUUCAGUAACUCCACUGAGCCGGUUUCCCUCGGGAAAAGGACAGCUAAACUGACUAUUGCCAGAAAAUAAACAAGUGCUGUGUGCCCUCUAUUAGUUGUUUAAAUUUAGUAACACCUUCGCGGACAAACAGAAGGUGCUCGAUCAGCUCCAGGGAGCACCAGCAUACAAAUGACCCGACUGUGUCUCAACUGCCUUCACACCUGUACUCAGAAUUCUCUUUACGGCUCAGCUGACAUGGGAAAGUCUGAAUCCAGUACAGACGGGGGUCUAGGGGUGUCUGUGGACAAUGAGGGAAAGUGUGAGUUCUCUGGAAGCCAUGUGUUCACACUUGGGGGCCUUCUCAAAAUACACGUUCCUUGCUUGGUGCACGACGUUCUCCCUGAACUCUUUCCUUUACACGCUUUAUCUUCCUGGCUUUCGUAACUCACCUAGGACCGCGUAAUGAGGUGCCCACACAGCCACCUUACCAAUAUCGGGGAGUCCAGCGGGCAUUGAGGGGAGAAGGCGUGCUAGUCUUUCCCUGGGAGCCACAGCCGCAGCCCCCCCACCCUCCACACCACUCCCAAACCACCACAUCUGUCCCCAGGACACCGGACCCUCACCUGGCCUGGCGACUCCCAUCCCAACCCCGUGACGUCAUACAGGCAACACUGCAUUUUUGCAGCCAGAGUAUAUAUUACCUAAAGUAUCCCUAGAGCGAGAUUUCUUUCUUUUUCCACCCCCAGCCCCAACAGAAAUAGCUCAGAAAAGAAAAACUGAAACCAAACGUUUAUGGCCACAUCACAGAAUCUCCCUCCACCAAGGAAACCAAGGUCUACAGCGCUAGACCACAGCUCUUAAAUCAAAGCAUUGGUACAAGCUUCCCGAAGGGAUGAGGGAAACCAAUUUUCACAGUAGCAGCGAACAUGCGAAAAUAGCGUUCUUGCAAAAUUGAAGAAUGUAGCCCGGCCCACACGCGCUAGAAUACUAAUGUGAGUAAUUACACAGGUGGUUAUGCAGACGCGGAAUUCGUGCUUCAAUCUGGCAGAAGGCUAAACAUUUCCAGGAUAGUUUGCGAGGUUCGAUUACCGCGACCUGCUGGUUAAUUUCCUUUAUCUCUGAAAGAACUCCCCCCAAGUCAAUCACUGUCCAAGGGGAAAGUCACUUCUAGAAACGUGUUCUACACAGGCAAGAAUAAGGUACAUUUACACUCCAGUGCCUCGACAUUUGUAAGUCAAGAGCUGACCUGUCCAGCCGUGAUUAUUCUGUUGUGUCCUAUAACUUCAUUCGAACAAAUCUUUCCUCUUCCAAACACUCAUUUAUUUGAAAAAUCUCCAUUAUCUAACAUGUGCCAAGCCCUAGUCUGAGACGCUGAGGCUACAGCAGUUAACGACAUAGGCAACAGUCCUUGCUCUAAGGAGGGUUACAUUCUACCAAGGGGAAAACAAUGCAGGAUCACAUAAGUAAGACACAGGGCACGGCAGAAGCCAAUCAGAGUGUGAUGGAGGAAAAUAAAGCAAGUAAAGAGAAUGGGGUGGGGGGUACAAUUUUUAAAAUAUCAGGGAAAACUACAGGGAAAAGGUAACAUUGCAGAGACUACUUAGGAAGGUGAGGGAAUGAGCCAUGCCAGGUGGACGUCUUGGCAAAGGGGAACAGCGGGCUAGUUCAAAGAUCCUGAAAGAGAGGCAAGUCUGGGGGGUGGGGGUGGGGGGGUGCUGUGAUCAACAAAAAUCAACAUUCUGCUAACUGCUUCAUAAACUUGCUAAAAACUGCAUCCCACGCAGAGAUAUCAAAAGACUUCAUUCUGGCAUUCGAGUUUUCUCUCAACUGUGUGAUAUCUGAUGCUCCUGUGAGUCAGAGACAUGCGUGUUUUGCCUUCCCGCCAUCCCUGCGUGCACUGACAGCUCCUUGUUUGCAUGGAGUCAAGUCCCAAGGGCCAAGGGCUCCAGGAGUAUGUUUAGCCCCCUGCCCCUGAGGCAGAAAUGCCCAUAUAUGGAUUCAAGACCCGCUGUACACAAAGCUCUAGCUUUACCCAUCCCCCAUAACCAUUCUCGCCGUAGGUGUUCAGGUCAGCUCCAGAAAAAGCUCAAAAGAGAGCUGAAAGGAAAAAAUACCCAGUCUCUGCAACUUUUUUUAAAGUAACAGUGUGAUCCAACCUUCUCUCUUAAAAGUUACAAUUUUUUCAAAAAGGAAAAUGCAAACAAGCCCUCAUUUUUGAACAUGAGAAGAGAAAAAGGAGAACCAUGCAUGUAAACAGCACGGAGUGUGAAUUCCUAGAACCCAGAGGAAGGUCAGGCCAGCGCGAAAAGUGGCAAGGACCUCUCUCUGUGCAGCUGGACAAGGACUAUGUGCAGCCUGGAUGUGUUACUUUUCCCUUCAAAAGUUUCACUUCCUCGUUUACAAAAGAGAGGGCAUAAUCCCUAUGGUGUAAAAUUGUUGCAAAGACUAGAAACAGCAGACUAAAAGUGGCCAGGCUGUAAAAAGGUCAAUUGUAAAAGGUUACUCCCGGGUGACUCCAUUUAUAGAACAUGCUUGAAAUGGCAAAAUUAGACAGAUGGAGAACAGAUUAGUGCUUGUGAGGAGCAGGGGGCAGGGGACUGGGAGAGUGCUGGCUAUGACUGUAACAGAGUACCGGGAAGGGUCCUUGUUCUGUACCUUGACUAUGGUGGCAGUCACGUGUGAUAAAACCCGCAUAGCAGGCUCUCUCUCUCACACACACACACACACACACACACACACACACACACACACGAGUGCACGUAAAGCCUAUGACAUUUACCUAAGGCUGAUCAUUGUAUCAAUGUUAAUUUCUUGACUUCAUAGUAUAAUACUAUCAUGCAACACUGGUUAUCAAUGGAGGAAACAGCGUCAAGGGAUCUAUAAUUAUCUAAGUAAGUGUUUUUUAAAGCUCAUCACUUUUUUAAAAAGUGCCCUGCUCUGUAAGUGGCCUAUUGGACAAGUAAUGGUCUUACCUAUAGACCAGAACUGUGAAUCCCUACUUCUGGCUUUAGAUUAGAGAGGAGACAUUGAGCACAGUGCCUGAGUCAGGACACUCCGUGGGGGGGUGGGGGGGUGCUGCGGGGGGCAGGGCAAUGCUGGCUAUCACCGCCAUCAUCUUUGGACCCCAGCCCCUCAAAACCUCACCGAUAUCCACGCAAAAUACAAAUACUCUUUAUAUAACCAAUGGAGAAACUUACAGGAAUCCAUUUACCACAAUAGGCAAAGAACAGUUAUUCUGUCUCUGAAUAACAAACACAUAUACACUAUAUACAUAAAAGUCCUAUGGAAAGAGACAAAAGAAUACUUUCGUGAUCUAAAGCAGCAUGUUCCAAAGCGUUACCCAAGAAACACUAGUCCCUGAGAUGCUCCCCCCCGCCAAAAAAAAAAACUCAAUCAGUCAAUCAAUCAUCCAUGGUCAAAUAAAUUUGGUAAAUGCAGCAUACAAUGUCUCCCUCUGAAGUUUCAGUUAAAAAGAAA